AGAGUUUGAUUCUGGCUCAGGAUGAACGCUAGCGGCAGGCUUAACACAUGCAAGUCGGGCGGCAGCGGGGUGGGAGCUUGCUCCCACUGCCGGCGAGCGGCGCACGGGUGAGUAACACGUAUGCAACCUGCCCCUGUCAGGGGGACAACCCGCCGAAAGGCGGGCUAAACCCGCGUAUAUCGCCCCGGGGCAUCCCGGGGCGAGGAAAGGAGCGAUCCGGACAGGGAUGGGCAUGCGGCGCAUUAGCUGGUCGGCGGGGUAACGGCCCACCGAGGCGACGAUGCGUAGGGGUUCUGAGAGGAAGGCCCCCCACACUGGUACUGAGACACGGACCAGACUCCUACGGGAGGCAGCAGUGAGGAAUAUUGGUCAAUGGGCGGGAGCCUGAACCAGCCAAGCCGCGUGAGGGAAGAAGGUACAGCGUAUCGUAAACCUCUUUUGUCAGGGAACAAAGGCGGGGACUAGUCCCCGGAUGAGGGUACCUGAAGAAAAAGCAUCGGCUAACUCCGUGCCAGCAGCCGCGGUAAUACGGAGGAUGCGAGCGUUAUCCGGAUUUAUUGGGUUUAAAGGGUGCGCAGGCGGCCUGUUAAGUCAGCGGUAAAAGCCCGGGGCUCAACCCCGGCGAGCCGUUGAAACUGGCGGGCUGGAGUUGGAGAGAAGUACGCGGAAUGCGCGGUGUAGCGGUGAAAUGCUUAGAUAUCGCGCAGAACCCCGAUUGCGAAGGCAGCGUACCGGCUCCACACUGACGCUGAGGCACGAAAGCGUGGGUAUCGAACAGGGUUAGAUACCCUGGUAGUCCACGCAGUAAACGAUGAAUGC
rnacentral:rRNA from 1 species